GAUGAACGCUGGCGGCGUGCCUAAUACAUGCAAGUCGAGCGAACGGACGAGAAGCUUGCUUCUCUGAUGUUAGCGGCGGACGGGUGAGUAACACGUGGAUAACCUACCUAUAAGACUGGGAUAACUUCGGGAAACCGGAGCUAAUACCGGAUGAUAUUUUGAACCGCAUGGUUCAAAAGUGAAAGACGGUCUUGCUGUCACUUAUAGAUGGAUCCGCGCUGCAUUAGCUAGUUGGUACGGUAACGGCUUACCAAGGCAACGAUGCAUAGCCGACCUGAGAGGGUGAUCGGCCACACUGGAACGGGGACACGGUCCAGACUCCUACGGGAGGCAGCAGUAGGGAAUCUUCCGCAAUGGGCGAAAGCCUGACGGAGCAACGCCGCGUGAGUGAUGAAGGUCUUCGGAUCGUAAAACUCUGUUAUUAGGGAAGAACAUAUGUGUAAGUAACUGUGCACAUCUUGACGGUACCUAAUCAGAAAGCCACGGCUAACUACGUG
rnacentral:rRNA from 1 species